GAUGAACGCUGGCGGCGUGCCUAAUACAUGCAAGUCGAGCGAACAGACGAGGAGCUUGCUCCUCUGACGUUAGCGGCGGACGGGUGAGUAACACGUGGAUAACCUACCUAUAAGACUGGGAUAACUUCGGGAAACCGGAGCUAAUACCGGAUAAUAUAUUGAACCGCAUGGUUCAAUAGUGAAAGGCGGUUUUGCUGUCACUUAUAGAUGGAUCCGCGCCGCAUUAGCUAGUUGGUAAGGUAACGGCUUACCAAGGCAACGAUGCGUAGCCGACCUGAGAGGGUGAUCGGCCACACUGGAACUGAGACGCGGUCCAGACUCCUACGGGAGGCAGCAGUAGGGAAUCUUCCGCAAUGGGCGAAAGCCUGACGGAGCAACGCCGCGUGAGUGAUGAAGGUCUUCGGAUCGUAAAACUCUGUUAUUAGGGAAGAACAAAUGUGUAAGUAACUAUGCACGUCUUGACGGUACCUAAUCAGAAAGCCACGGCUAACUACGUG
rnacentral:rRNA from 1 species